AUUUGAUUUAAUUUUUAUUUGGAAUAAUUUAUAAGAAGUGAUUUUACUAUAGAUGCAUUUACCCUGCUAAACACGUGCAAGGUUAUAUAUAAAUCAGAAACGAAACUAAUGAAUGCAGUCUAAGUGACAUGAAGAAAAUGCGAUUUCAACUAUUUCUCUUAUUCCUAUGCCUGAUUGGGGCCUUUGCGAUGCCCGCCGAUGAAGAGUCUAAGAAUGCUCAGAAACCUGAUAUUGAUAUCGCAGCGUUAACUUUAAAACCCCUGGCUCGUAGCGCCGAAGAAAUGAGUAAAGCUGCUAAGGAUACCGUAAAGACUGGAGGCGAUAUGCUGGCGUCUAUGCUAGGAUGAAUGGAUUUGGCAUACCCAUGAAUAUAAUGCAGUGGCGACUUACAAUAAUUAAUGUAACGACUAUAACAACCGCAUAAUAAAAUGUGACUAAUAAA